rnacentral:rRNA from 1 species
AGCGAACGCUGGCGGCAGGCCUAACACAUGCAAGUCGAACGAACCCUUCGGGGUUAGUGGCGGACGGGUGAGUAACACGUGGGAACGUGCCUUUAGGUUCGGAAUAACUCAGGGAAACUUGUGCUAAUACCGAAUGUGCCCUUCGGGGGAAAGAUUUAUCGCCUUUAGAGCGGCCCGCGUCUGAUUAGCUAGUUGGUGAGGUAAUGGCUCACAAAGGCUACGAUCAGUAGCUGGUCUGAGAGGAUGACCAGCCACAUUGGUACUGAGACACGGCCCAAACUCCUACGGGAGGCAGCAGUGGGGAAUCUUGCGCAAUGGGCGAAAGCCUGACGCAGCCAUGCCGCGUGGAUGAUGAAGGUCUUAGGAUUGUAAAAUCCUUUCACCGGUGAAGAUAAUGACUGUAGCCGGAGAAGAAGCCCCGGCUAACUUCGUGCCAGCCGCCGCCGUAAGAC